UUAUUAUUAUUAUCAAAUUGAAAGCGCUCAUUUUAUCUGACUCUGAGCAAGACAACAGUGUAAGACAGAAAAGAGCACGGACUCCAGGAGAUUGGAAGAUGUAAUACUCCAGCUAACAGUCAACUUUAGCAGCCCCAAUCAGAUUAUCACUACAUUUGUUCCUCACAUUUCAUACAAAGUAUGUUGUUGAUUUACAUUGUACAUCUGCUCGCAUAAUGCUGAUGAAUAUUUCAAAUAUUUCAACUGAGUUAAAAAGGCAGAGCUCUAUUGCCAAGUAGUCUUAGCAAUAGAGUUUCCCUAUGAUAUGCUUUUUUUAAACAUACCAUUGUCAUGUAUAGUUUACUGCCAAAAGCAGCAGAUGAUAGAUUCACCACUAUACUGCAAUACCAAGAAUCUGUCCACUGCUAGUACUUUAUUGGGGCCAUGUUAGAAUAUGUUAAUGAAAAAGCAUGUGUGCAAUCUA